GAACUUGUCAAUAGAGCACUGAGAUUAAGGAAUGUUCUAUUGACACUCUUAGAGCUAGAGAUGAAACCAAAUGAUAUUAACUUGGAGAAAAAGAGAGAAAAGAAAAGUUAUAACUGGUUUUCUUUCAACCUUAUAUAAUGUCAAAAAACACAAAACUUCUUUACAGUAUGGUGGAACACAACCGAAAGUUACAAGCUAAUAGACAGUAGGAUUAUUAAAGAGGUUCUGAUAUUCCAAGAGAUUAUACACAAAUAUGCAUCACAGCAGAAGCCUUAAUUGGCUGAUUUCUAGUUUAUUCCACAGAGAAGCAAUUGCUGGCAGUGAUAGCAAGCCAUGUCAAAUUGGCCUGCUUAUGAAUAUUGUCUGUCAGGUUCAAACACAGUAAAAUCAACAGUAAGAAUUAGAUUGAGAUCAUGCUCGGGAUAAUAUUUUUAACAUUUAUUUUUUCCAGCAUCGCAAUUUUUCAUGCAACCAAGAGUAAGAUUUCUAUAAGUAUCGAGUAUUUAUCCGUCAUAUACAUGCGACAAUUGAGUUGCAAGUUUAACAAUAUAAUACAAUAAUAUUGAAACUAAAUUGCAAGCAAUCUCAGCAAUUAUUUUACUUGAUUAUUUUUGUAUGUUGAAAUGUCAAAAUUUAAUUGAGAAACCUUGAUGCUGCAAACAUGAAGCUUACAGUCGAUCGUAAAAUGGAAAGGAUACCACGGAGGUAUUUCACACAGCAACUGGCGCAGGUCUUUUGCUAGCUUUGAUUCCUCUUAUAGCUACAAGGGAAUUGAAACCAUGACAAAUAUCAGAAUCACAUUGAAUUUUCAUGUAUUACAAUGUAUGCCUCCGGCUCAAAAUUUCAAAAUAUUUUUUUAAAGGUACCUUCAGCAUAAUCUUUAGCUCCAAACACAGCGGAACCAGCAACCAGUGCAUUAGCUCCAGCCUCAAUCACCUGCCAAAUAACAUAAUACUGAAAAUUAGAUCCUACAACUCAAAUCGGUUCAGUACAUAGAACACUUGUUACAUAUCUAAACCAAAAAAAAAAAAACUUGUUACAUAUCAUUCUAAACUAUAAGUGAUGGAAGACAUGUGAUUAUAUGUAUACAGCACCUUGUAAGCAUUUGCCGGGGUAACUCCACCAUCCACUUCAAUCCAUGGAUUCACACCCUAGUGAGAGAAAGAGAGACUAUUUAAAGAUUAUGUAAGAAAUAAAAAUCGGUACAUACACAAACACAAAUUAUUGCAGCAUACCUUCUCCGCACACAAUUUUCUCAAAUCAGAAAUUUUCUUUACUUGACUCUCGAUAAAACUCUGGCCACCAAAGCCAGGGUUUACGGACAUAAUUAAGACCAAAUCAACCACUGCGAUCACCAUAAUAAGAUUAUAAGAUUUUAUUGUUUUUAAUUACUAGAAGAACCUCAAAAAAAAGUAACUCAACAGACAUUAGUCUGAAAUGAAUAACAAAAUUUAAAUUUAUACUCCUUUACUUUUCCAAUUUAUUUCCAAACAAACCUUUUCUAUUCUGUUUAUAAAAUACAGUUACCAGUAUUUUCAGAGACAGAAAAAACGAAGUAAAAAACACAGGCUCACCAUCAAGGACAUAUUCUAUUGCACUUAGUGGGGUACCAGGGUUUAGGACAACUCCAGCUUUAGCUCCCAGACUUUUCACCUAAAUCAAGAGAACAUAAUUAGAUACACAAAUAUAAGUUGAGUUAUCUGUUAUUAUACUUAAAGGCUGAGACAUUACUUAACUAUUAAACCUUACACAUCCUUACUGUGUUCUUGCUGUGUUCUUGACAAAAUUGU
rnacentral:lncRNA from 1 species